CGCCUCCUCAACCUCUUUCUCUCUCUGUGUGACACUGCUGUAAUUUGAAAGAUACCUCUUUGGAAGACAGUAUACCAGAGUCCUCACCAGCUCCUUUUCACUCCGUUUCACAAUGCUGGACAUCUUCCUGCUGAUGUUUUUCGCCAUUGUGAGUUUAGUGAUUCUCUCCUAUAUCAUCUAUGUGCUGUAAGGAGAUGGAGACAGCAGCAGCAAUGACCAGGAGCUGUCAGAAAGCUGCAAGGCGGAGCUUGCUGGAACCGUGAGAGAUGGCUGGGCAUUGCGUUUUCCCUCAGUUGGCCCUCAGCACAGAUGUUGGAAUGUUAAAACCAUUUCUCUUGGAUUCAUCUCCUCAGUGGGACGGCAUAGGAUCUUCCUGAGCGAAGGUAACUGCUGAGCAACAUCGAGUACAGUCGCGAAGAUUGAUAGGUAUCCAGAGUUUUCCUGAAACAAACACCACCCAUCCCAGUUUUGCUUCCAGAACAUUCCAAGAUGUUGGCAGAUGAACACUCCUGGCCAUUGUGUUGGACCAUGCCUUUGGAUGGGACAUUGAAACUGUUGGAAUAUGGAACUGCCUGUGUCUUUCUCAGGCCAGGCUGCUGUGAAUUCUGUCAGUAGGUUAGGAAGUGAUGACUGUUCAGUUCAAGCACAACCUGAAUAGCAUUCUCCAAAGUCAGAUCUUCUUCAUUCAACUCUGCGUCUUAUGAAUUCUGAUUUCAAAGCUCCAUAGUUACAUUUUUUUUCACUAAUCAGAGAUCAUUAAUGCAAUUAUCCAUGGAUUCUACUGAAACCUGAACUCUUCUGUUAAGUAUUCUUGUUUCAAGAAUGUUAUGUUUUCAUGUUAAAAUAGUUGCUGAAAGUUUGUAGAACUUCAUCAAAAGAAACUGGGACUUGUUUUGAGGAGCUAUAACAUCAUCAGCUGUAGGUUCUGUUGAAUACAAUAGUGAAUUUCUUUGUUCAGCUUGUGAUUUAGUUUGUAUCUUGAAAGUAAAUUCUGUACAUCAUAACUGUUUUCAUAAAAAUAUCCAAUUUUGCUGUCAUGCAGGAAAUGAUGCAACCAAUUUAUACACAGCAAGGUCCCACCAAGAGCAACGAGAUAUUGUUAUUAAUAAAUGAAGCAAGUAAUAAAAUGGAUGGACAAGUUGGUCACUGAGGAAAUGAGCUUGCACCACACCUUAUUUUUUGUUUUAAACAAGCAUAAUUUUAUUUUAUAAAGAUUUUGCAAAUACUGAUUGAACCCUUUCUAAAGUACCACUUCGCUAUAUCCUGUGUUGUCUUAACCGUUCUGUUGGGGAAGGGCAUUAAGAGAUAUGGAGCUAAGCUGGAUAAAUUAUAACGAAGGUACAGCUCAGAAACACACCGGAAUCAUGCCAGGUUUCCCCCAUCCCUCUUUGUUUGAUCCUAUUCACGUAUCUUCCAAUCCUUUCUCACUCAUGUAUUUAUUCAGCUUCUCCAAAAAUGCAUCAAUGUUAAUUGACUCAACUGAGGCAUGUAGCUAUGAGUCCCAAGUCUUGGUCACCCUCUGGGUAAAGAGGUUCCUGAUGAACUCCUUACUGGAAUUAUCCAUGUCUAUUUUAUUGUGGCCAUUGGGUUUAGUCUGCCUCGUAUGUACUCUUCCCAUGCUUUUCAAUAGUUUUGAGAGGCAGCUCAACCAUGAGCUAACUGUUUAAAGGGAACAGUUGUGGAGAGUGGAUACCACUGGUCUAAUUCUCUUCCAGUAAUCACAUGAAGCUGGUACUAAUGGCAGCUGGCUCUUUGACCACAGUGAUGCUCCAACCUGUUUUAUUUUGCUUGUUGUGGUAGACCUUGCACAAGGGUUGCUAACUAGUAAUUAGCACUAAGUAGCAGAGUGGGUUUUUAUUUGCUUAAUAAAUAGCUGAGCUACUGUGCACAUGGAUGGGAUACCACAUGUACUUCAUUGGCAUUGGUCGUGCCCACAGUCAUUUUUCUCAGGACAUCCCAUGGCAUUGCACAGCUGAUGGAUUACUUCUAAAGUGUGGUUGUUGACGUCUGAAUGUAAACAUCAAAUGGCAACAUCACCUUGCAUUUAUAUAGCACCUUUAAUGUAUUAAAACAUCCCAAGUUGUAACACACAAACAUUUACAUUGAAUCAUAUAAAGAGUUACUAGGGCACCUGGUCAAAAUUAAGGUCGAUGAAUUGGAUUUUAAGUAACAUCUUAAAGGAGGGGUUGGAGAUAGUAAUUCAAUAUCAAUUGUUUAUCUGUAUAGAGGUAGACUAUAACACUCAAUCUCCUUUAAACAGAGGGACUGAUACGGUGGCUUUUAUGUUUGGAAGUGAAUGCUUAUAAUGUGUAACUCUGUCAAUAAAAGUUUAUAAAUGUGUGCAAAGAUUGCCUCCCAUUCUAUCCUUUAUUUAACAUUCGGAACAUUAUCAGUGAGGAACAUGCAGGUUUAGAGAGGGAAUUCCAGAUGAGCCUGGGCAAACUGAAGACAGGCCACCAGUG